GAAUAAGAAGCGAAUUAUUGCAUUCAGUUUCGACCUGAAAAAAAAUGGUAUUUUAUACGUUAUUCU
rnacentral:tRNA from 1 species